GAGCUGUGAAGAAAUUGGCUUUAGCAUUGGUUGGGUCCAAUGCAUUCUACUGAAUAUCAGUUGAUAUUGCCCCAUUCUGAGCUC